rnacentral:rRNA from 1 species
ACACAUGCAAGUCGAACGAGCGAGAGAGAGCUUGCUUUCUCGAGCGAGUGGCGAACGGGUGAGUAACGCGUGAGGAACCUGCCUCAAAGAGGGGGACAACAGUUGGAAACGACUGCUAAUACCGCAUAAGCCCACGACCCGGCAUCGGGUAGAGGGAAAAGGAGCAAUCCGCUUUGAGAUGGCCUCGCGUCCGAUUAGCUAGUUGGUGAGGUAACGGCCCACCAAGGCGACGAUCGGUAGCCGGACUGAGAGGUUGAACGGCCACAUUGGGACUGAGACACGGCCCAGACUCCUACGGGAGGCAGCAGUGGGGAAUAUUGCACAAUGGGGGAAACCCUGAUGCAGCGACGCCGCGUGGAGGAAGAAGGUCUUCGGAUUGUAAACUCCUGUUGUUGAGGAAGAUAAUGACGGUACUCAACAAGGAAGUGACGGCUAACUACGUGCCAGCAGCCGCGGUAAAACGUAGGUCACAAGCGUUGUCCGGAAUUACUGGGUGUAAAGGGAGCGCAGGCGGGAAGACAAGUUGGAAGUGAAAUCCAUGGGCUCAACCCAUGAACUGCUUUCAAAACUGUUUUUCUUGAGUAGUGCAGAGGUAGGCGGAAUUCCCGGUGUAGCGGUGGAAUGCGUAGAUAUCGGGAGGAACACC